rnacentral:lncRNA from 1 species
CCCUAUUCAGAAGCUUUAUCAAUAGUUUGACGUUCAUAAAUUGUUUAUAAGUCUUAUCUACAUGUAGCUCCUCUUUCAACUGUCCUAUGACCGAAAACAAAAAAAAAAAAAAUUUCUGCAUGAAUAGAUCCCAAACUUUUUCGCCUCACUCCGCUCGGCUGUAAAUGCUUGCACAUCGUUUCUUUCUAGCUACGCCCCUGACUUGUGUGCGUCAAAGCCCUCCCCUUACCUCCGACAGUAGUGUAAUAGCCCAGAUCUGAAUUAAAAUAAGUUUAAUGUUUAAUUCAUCAGAUUGAUACAAAGCACAAAAUCAGGUAACAAAAACACCGAAUAAAAGUUGACGGGUAUAUACAUCCCCACAACAAAAAAGACACUCGAGUACAGAUUUGAGAGUACUCACAGUUACUGACAUCUAGUCCAAAGC